ensembl:lncRNA
CUGUGGAGGAGACGAGAAGAUGAAGGAGUGUUGACCAUCUGGAUUACGCUAAUCUCCAGGGCAACAGCUGACCUGACCUGCGACGCUCUGCUCCUGCUCUCCACAAAUCUUACAGCUCGCACUUUGAUUUUGUGGAAUCAGACGUCUAGUCCCACCAAUUCUACAGGCUUGUUCUGUAACACUUCGAUUGAUGGCAUUGGGACAUGUUGGCCCAGGAGCAGUGCUGGAGAAGUGGUGUCCCGUCCCUGUCCAGAGACCUUCCUCGGAGUCCGUUACAACACAACCAAUAACGUGUACAGAGAAUGCCUUGCCAAUGGCACCUGGGCGAAGAAGGGAAACUACUCCCAAUGUCAGGAAAUCCUCAACGAGGAGAAGAAGAGCAAGCUGCAUUACCACAUUGCAGUCAUCAUAAACUACCUGGGACAUUGUAUCUCUCUGGGAGCCCUGCUGGUCGCCUUCAUCCUCUUCAUGAGACUCAGGAGUAUCCGGUGUCUGAGAAAUAUCAUCCACUGGAACCUGAUUACAGCAUUUAUCCUGCGAAAUGCCACCUGGUUCGUGGUGCAGCUCACUAUGAACCCAGAGGUGCAUGAGAGCAAUGUGCCUUGGAUUUUCCUCAUUAAAAAUGCAUUGCAAAUGAGUCAUUGCCGAGGAUUUAUCACACAGUUCCUUAAUAGUAUCAAUUAUACUGUUUGUACAAUGUCUUUGAUUUUUCAAACUAAUCAGAGUGGGUGGAAAUUUGCUCUGCUUUUUUCAACAGGUAUUCCAUUCCCCAUUAUCGUCGCUUGGGCCAUUGGCAAGCUGUACUAUGACAAUGAAAAGUGCUGGUUUGGGAAGCGGGCCGGCAUUUACACUGAUUAUAUUUAUCAGGGGCCCAUGAUCCUGGUCCUGCUGAUUAACUUCAUUUUUCUCUUCAACAUUGUGAGGAUCCUGAUGACUAAACUGAGGGCCUCCACUUUUUUUUAUUUUUAUUUUUAUCCUACUGAGAAAGCAGUAAAGGCCACACUGGUUCUUCUGCCGCUGCUGGGCAUCACUUACAUGCUGUUCUUCGUCAACCCAGGCGAGGAUGAGAUCUCACAGAUUGUCUUCAUCUACUUUAAUUCUUUCCUAGAGUCCUUUCAGGGCUUUUUUGUGUCAGUGUUCUACUGCUUUUUGAACAGUGAGGUACGCUCAGCCGUUCGUAAGCGGUGGCACCGCUGGCAGGAUAAGCACUCCAUUCGGGCACGGGUGGCACGGGCCAUGUCUAUUCCCACCUCUCCAACACGGGUCAGUUUCCACAGCAUCAAGCAGUCGUCGGCAGUCUGA